rnacentral:rRNA from 1 species
GACGUAGGGCGCGAGCGUUGUCCGGAUUUAUUGGGCGUAAAGAGCUCGUAGGCGGUCUGUCGCGUCUGCUGUGAAAACUCAGGGCUUAACCCUGAGCUUGCAGUGGGUACGGGCAGGCUAGAGUUCGGUAGGGGAGACUGGAAUUCCUGGUGUAGCGGUGAAAUGCGCAGAUAUCAGGAGGAACACCGGUGGCGAAGGCGGGUCUCUGGGCCGAUACUGACGCUGAGGAGCGAAAGCGUGGGGAGCGAACAGG